rnacentral:rRNA from 1 species
UACAGAGGUCCCGAGCGUUGUUCGGAUUCAUUGGGCGUAAAGGGUGCGUAGGCGGCCGAGUAAGUUUGAUGUGAAAUCCCGGGGCUCAACCCUGGAAUGGCAUUGAAUACUGCCCGGCUAGAGUACUGGAGAGGAAACUGGAAUUUACGGUGUAGCAGUGAAAUGCGUAGAGAUCGUAAGGAAGACCAGUGGCGAAGGCGAGUUUCUGGACAGUUACUGACGCUGAGGCACGAAGGCCAGGGGAGCAAACGGG